UUGACCUCGGAUCAGGUASGAWUACCCGCUGAAACUUAAGCAUAUCAAUAAGCGGGAGGAAAAAGAAAACCAACAGGGAUUGCCUUUAGUAACGGGCGAAGUGGAAGCGGCAACAGCUCAAAUUUGAAAAUCUGGCCCUCGGGUCCGAAUUGUAAUUUGUAGAGGAGAUUUUGGUGCGGUAUCUCCGAGUUCCUGGAACAGACGCCUUAAAGGUGAAGCCCGUACGGUGAAUGCCAACCUCGUAAUCUCUUCACGAAUCAGUUGUUGGGAAUGAC
rnacentral:rRNA from 1 species